rnacentral:rRNA from 1 species
UACAGAGACUGCAAGCGUUAUUCGGAAUUAUUGGGCGUAAAGGGCGUGUAGGCGGCUUCGUGUGUCCCAUGUGAAAGCCCUCGGCUUAACCGAGGAACUGCAUGGGAAACUGCGGAGCUUGAGUCCGGGAGGGGAGAGCGGAAUUCCCAGUGUAGCGGUGAAAUGCGUAGAUAUUGGGAGGAACACCAGUGGCGAAGGCGGCUCUCUGGACCGGUACUGACGCUGAGACGCGAAAGCCAGGGGAGCAAACGGG